ACUAAUUUGUUUCAUAUAGUCUC
rnacentral:snRNA from 1 species